GUGGGCAAUCUGCCCUUCACUCUGGGACAAGCCCUGGAAACGGGGUCUAAUACCGGAUACACUCUGUCCCGCAUGGGACGGGGUUGAAAGCUCCGGCGGUGAAGGAUGAGCCCGCGGCCUAUCAGCUUGUUGGUGGGGUGAUGGCCUACCAAGGCGACGACGGGUAGCCGGCCUGAGAGGGCGACCGGCCACACUGGGACUGAGACACGGCCCAGACUCCUACGGGAGGCAGCAGUGGGGAAUAUUGCACAAUGGGCGAAAGCCUGAUGCAGCGACGCCGCGUGAGGGAUGACGGCCUUCGGGUUGUAAACCUCUUUCAGCAGGGAAGAAGCGAGAGUGACGGUACCUGCAGAAGAAGCGCCGGCUAACUACGUGCCAGCAGCCGCGGUAAUACGUAGGGCGCAAGCGUUGUCCGGAAUUAUUGGGCGUAAAGAGCUCGUAGGCGGCUUGUUGCGUCGGUUGUGAAAGCCCGGGGCUUAACCCCGGGUCUGCAGUCGAUACGGGCAGGCUAGAGUGUGGUAGGGGAGAUCGGAAUUCCUGGUGUAGCGGUGAAAUGCGCAGAUAUCAGGAGGAACACCGGUGGCGAAGGCGGAUCUCUGGGCCAUUACUGACGCUGAGGAGCGAAAGCGUGGGGAGCGAACAGGAUUAGAUACCCUGGUAGUCCACGCCGUAAACGUUGGGAACUAGGUGUUGGCGACAUUCCACGUCGUCGGUGCCGCAGCUAACGCAUUAAGUUCCCCGCCUGGGGAGUACGGCCGCA
rnacentral:rRNA from 3 species